AUUGAACGCUGGCGGCAUGCCUUACACAUGCAAGUCGAACGGCAGCAUAGGAGCUUGCUCCUGAUGGCGAGUGGCGAACGGGUGAGUAAUAUAUCGGAACGUGCCCUAGAGUGGGGGAUAACUAGUCGAAAGACUAGCUAAUACCGCAUACGAUCUACGGAUGAAAGUGGGGGAUCGCAAGACCUCAUGCUCCUGGAGCGGCCGAUAUCUGAUUAGCUAGUUGGUGGGGUAAAAGCCUACCAAGGCAACGAUCAGUAGCUGGUCUGAGAGGACGACCAGCCACACUGGGACUGAGACACGGCCCAGACUCCUACGGGAGGCAGCAGUGGGGAAUUUUGGACAAUGGGGGCAGCCCUGAUCCAGCAAUGCCGCGUGAGUGAAGAAGGCCUUCGGGUUGUAAAGCUCUUUUGUCAGGGAAGAAACGGUAGUAGCUAAUAUCUAUUACUAAUGACGGUACCUGAAGAAUAAGCACCGGCUAACUACGUGCCAGCCGCCGCCGUAAAAC
rnacentral:rRNA from 1 species